CCUACGGGAGGCAGCAGUGGGGAAUUUUGGACAAUGGGCGAAAGCCUGAUCCAGCAAUGCCGCGUGUGGGAAGAAGGCCUUCGGGUUGUAAACCACUUUUGUACGGAACGAAACGGUUCGCUUUAAUACAGUGGGCUAAUGACGGUACCGUAAGAAUAAGCACCGGCUAACUACGUGCCAGCAGCCGCGGUAAUACGUAGGGUGCGAGCGUUAAUCGGAAUUACUGGGCGUAAAGCGUGCGCAGGCGGUUAUAUAAGACAGUUGUGAAAUCCCCGGGCUCAACCUGGGAAUUGCAUCUGUGACUGUAUAGCUAGAGUACGGUAGAGGGGGAUGGAAUUCCGCGUGUAGCAGUGAAAUGCGUAGAUAUGCGGAGGAACACCGAUGGCGAAGGCAAUCCCCUGGACCUGUACUGACGCUCAUGCACGAAAGCGUGGGGAGCAAACAGGAUUAGAUACCCUGUAGUCCACGCCCUAAACGAUGUCAACUGGUUAGUUGGGUGCAUUAGUACUCAGUAACGAAAGCUAACGCGUGAAGUUGACCGCCUGGGGAGUACGGCCGCAAGUUGAAAACUCAAAAGGAAUUGACGG
rnacentral:rRNA from 1 species